UUGAAUUACCAGUUCCCAUAUGAUCACCAAAGUUAAGCAAUUUCAAGCCUUGUCAGUACUUAGAUGGGUGACCACUUGGGAAUACCAGGUGCUGUAA